rnacentral:rRNA from 1 species
AACUUUCAACAACGGAUCUCUUGGCUCUCGCAUCGAUGAAGAACGCAGCGAAAUGCGAUAAGUAAUGUGAAUUGCACAAUUCAGUGAAUCAUCGAAACUUUGAACGCACCUUGCGCCUUUUGGUAUCCCGAAGGGCAUGCCUGUUUGAGUGUCAU